UGCUGACUAGAAAGCUUCAGAGACCUGCCU
rnacentral:piRNA from 1 species